CCUACGGUGCGCAGCAGUGGGGAAUAUUGGGCAAUGGGCGCAAGCCUGACCCAGCAACGCCGCGUGAAGGAAGAAGGCUUUCGGGUUGUAAACUUCUUUUCUGAGGGACGAAGAAAGUGACGGUACCUCAGGAAUACGCCACGGCUAACUACGUGCCAGCAGCCGCGGUAAUACGUAGGUGGCAAGCGUUAUCCGGAUUUAUUGGGUGUAAAGGGCGUGGAGGCGGGAAAGCAAGUCAGAUGUGAAAAUGCAGGGCUGAACCCUGAGCCUGCAUUUGAAACUGGUUUUCUUGAGUGCUGGAGAGGCAAUCGGAAUGCCGGGUGUAGCGGUGAAAUGCGUAGAUAUACGGAGGAACACCAGUGGCGAAGGCGGAUUGCUGGACAGCAACUGACGCUGAGGCGCGAAAGCGUGGGGAGCAAACAGGAUUAGAUACCCGAGUAGUC
rnacentral:rRNA from 1 species